ensembl:lncRNA
CGGGGAGGUGAGGGAGCCCCGCGUUCCUGAACGGUAGGUCGGUUUGGGCCCAUCCCGCCCACCGUCCGCGCCGGCCCGGGCGUUCCUAGCAACGGCCGCGGGCAGAGGAGCCGGCGCCGCGUUCGAACGGCCCGCCACCGCACCGCGGUCGCCCAUUGGCUGACGGCCGUGCCGCUCUGUCAUCGACUUCGCUUAUUGGGCAGCGGGACGGCUACGUCCCGCCCCCGGCAUUUUGAGGUGAGCGCCGCGAGGCGCUGGCCGGGCUGCGCUGGGAGCUGACCGUUCUGCUGUAGGAGCGGGCAGGAGUCGGCUGUGCCGCGUUUCUGUUAGCAGAGCGCACUCUGCUGCUCCUGGCUAGGCGCGGGGAUGGCCGGUAGCGCGCGCGGCCGCUCUGUAGGCAGCCCCCCGGGCCUCGGCCCUUCAAGCGACUCGGAGCAGCUGAGCAGGUCCUACCCCUGGGCCGGUGGCGGCGGGAGGAGCCGGCUGGCCGGGCUGUGCCGGCGGGGAGCCUCGCUGUCCGGGGAGAAAUGGAGCUCUUACUGCCUCUCUUCACUGGCAGCUCAUAAUGUCUGUGCCAGCAAAAUUGGGAACUCUUGGGCUCAGCGGGACUCUUCCUCUCUUUCCAUUUCUGUUGGAAGUUCUUGCUCUUUUGUGCAUGCCCUUGCCCUGGAGGAACCCGGCCAGCACUUCCUGACUGCUGCCCGCAAUCCAAACCAGGCCAUCUUCACCGUGGAUAUCAACACAACAGAGGUAUUUGCAGCUAUAACUGCUAAGCUACACCCCACAUAACUGAUACAGGCUGUAUGAGAUCAUAUAAGUUAAUAUGCCUGUUGUUCUUACUUGUAACUGUAGGCAAUUAGAGUGUUGUGAAGGUGUUUUAUAGUUUGCUUAGUAAUUUUCUAAAGACUGGCAAUGCAUGUAUUUCUAUUGCAUGGUGUAGUUAGCAAAAUAUAUGUAACCAAUUAGAAGCACUGUUAUCUUGACUCUUUUAUCUCAAACAGAAAAAGAGACUAAAGAAGAAUGCAGCUAUGAUGUGGCACGAGGGAAGAAAAGGAAAGCUGAAUGUACUUCAGGCCUUUUGUCUAGAAAGUACCAGCCCAGGGAUAAAUUUAUGGUGGCAUGACAUCUCUGUCUGCCCCACUUAACAUGCUUUUUGCAGUGGGAGAAAGGAGAUUUUUUCUGUUUCUGUCCUGACAGAAACUGGAGUGUAAAAUUAAGGGCUAACAGCUGUAAAGAGCUGUGCCAUUUUUAGUUUGAGCUGAUAGUUUGUGUUUUCCUGUCCUAAAGACACUUAAUCCUAACUUGGUCUUUAACAGAGGCUUAAGCAUGGCAAUGAUUUCUGUGAUUGUUGCAUGUCUUCGGGGGUGGAUGAAAUUCUAUGGCCUGCCUCAGCUCUGCUUGCAAGUACAGCUUUGUAGCUUUGCCUCUGUGGGUGUAAUUCACAAGGCUGAAGGAGAUAGGUUGUUAAAAGCCAGCAGGAAACCUAAAAGGAAAGCCACAUCUCAAACACUCUUAAUCAACAAGACAUUUAGGCAAUGGAUGUCUUAGAACAAGAAGCUGAAGUGAAUUGUUUUCAUAGGCUUCAGAGUUUAAAAGGACUGCUCUAUUUCCACUGAAAGGAAGUGACUUUAU